UGGCGACCAGAUUGUACGAAUAGGCUAGCUGUCAAACCGAUCAGCGUAUGCUUCUCGUGUGUGGAUAUGUGCGUCGCCACGAGUGUGUGUGUCGACAUGUUGUCAUCGUAUAUCUGCCUUGUGUGGUUUUGUACCUAGCGUGAUUUGGCGUCCAAAACUAAAUAAACAUUCUGCAAUCGUUGUGAACAAUCUGGUUUGGUUAGUGUUUUUUGAAACAAAAUAUAUGAAAAUGAAACGUAACUCUUCGCAUUUUCAUAAAUUAGGUGUUACGGGUCAACUGUACAAAAUGUCGGCUCGAAGGGAAGCUUUGGAAAAGUCUGCUGAACAAGAAUCCGAAAAUGCUGACCCUGAUUCUACGGUUGAUUGUUUACAUGUCGGUAAGUAAUUACAGGAACGAAAGAAACGAAUGAUUUCAUAGCUCUUCGCUGUGUUAAAGAAUACAAUUUCAUGCCGUCCGUUUCAGACAACCAUACAGAAGACAACCAAACAAUCGAUGUUGUUCCGAUUAUUGAAACACCGGAUGGUUAUACCGACAACACGUUUGAAGCAUCGUAUCUCGACGAAGAUUAUGAUUGGCUGAGUCAAGCUGAUUGAGCAUGUGAAAGUUUCAGAAAGGAUUAAUAUGAAUGUAUCCAUCGAUUGAUUGCCAUUGUUCAAAGGAUCUCCUUCUUCAUUUUGGUUAAUAUUGAUCAACGUUCAUGAGAUUCCGAUUCUGUCGCCUAUGAUUGCAGCAAUGUUCCACGGCAUCACUAAACAUUCUCAGCUACAGGAAUUUCUAGGACCGUUUGUUAAAGAGAUGAAUGAUGUUAUCGAAAAUGGUAUCCAAAUUAACAACACAGUAGUUAGUGUGACCUUGCGCGCAUUUAUAUGCGAUGUCCCGGCAAGAGCUUACUAUCACGGUGUCAUGUAUUUCAACGCAAAACAUGGAUGUUUGAAAUGUUGCACCGUCGUCGAACACAGAUCUAAGAAUAGAUAGAAGAUAUUGUGGUAGCAGAUCGCCUGCAUCUAUA